CCCCUGAAGGAACGUUUAAGACUAAGACGUUGAUAGGCUGGGUGUGUAAGUGCAGCGAUGCAUUGAGCUAACCAGUACUAAUGAUCCGUGAGGCUUAACCU
rnacentral:rRNA from 1 species